rnacentral:misc_RNA from 1 species
GUUUUUUUUUUUUAAUUUUAUUUUAUUUUUAAAAAAAAUUCCUUUACUCAAUUCAAAGCCAUAUAUCUGUCGUCUGGGGUUUCUGAAUGACAAAUAAAAUAGGAAAUAGCUCACUAAACCAAUAGAGAUUAAAGAGGAAACAAAUGGAGGAAUUAUCUUCGGUACUGUCAUAUAAACACCUCUAAUCAGCUGCAUGAUGAUAGGGGAAAUAGGCUUUGGGAACAAGUGGGGCUUCCCCCUGGCCAUGGAUAGUCUUUCUUAGCCAUGCGUGACUACGUCAGCCUCACUUCCCCUGUGUUGCUCCCCUAAUCGAUCGACGUCGUUCUGCUGGCCAAUGGGUAAGCUCGGCAAUGAAGUGGCGCUGUGGUGCGCAGCAACCUUUACGCUGCCAGCUCAUGGGCAUUAAAAGCGAAUACCUGCGCCUGAUUCUUGAUUGAGCUCUUGGGGAUGGAGUUAUUGGGUUUGAAUCCAUCCAUUAAUGGGCCCUCUUACUGAAAAUUUUUAUUCAAUGAAAUCUAUUUUGGCAUAAGUUCGAUUAAAUGAAAGAAAAUAAGAUCAAAAACCAAAACGCCCAGUUUUUAUCGUCAGGGUUGAGCACAGCCCCGACGUGAAAAACCGAGCCUCGAUUUGUCUCUAUCGAACUCCAGCAAAUAUCCUUGUUGCAUCAGAUU